rnacentral:rRNA from 1 species
GACGGAGGAUGCAAGCGUUAUCCGGAAUGAUUGGGCGUAAAGCGUCCGCAGGUGGCAGUUCAAGUCUGCUGUCAAAGACCGGGGCUUAACUUCGGAAAGGCAGUGGAAACUGAACAGCUAGAGUAUGGUAGGGGCAAGGGGAAUUCCCAGUGUAGCGGUGGAAAUGCGUAGAUAUUGGGAAGAACACCGGUGGCGAAAGCGCCUUGCUGGGUCUGCACUGACACUGAGGGACGAAAGCUAGGGGAGCGAAAGGG